GAUGAACGCUAGCGGCAGGCCUAAUACAUGCAAGUCGGAGGGGCAGCAGGAAUAGCAAUAUUUGCUGGCGACCGGCGCACGGGUGCGUAACACGUAUACAAUCUGCCUUCUACGAGGGGGAUAGCCUUUCGAAAGAGAGAUUAACUACCCCAUAACACAAGAAAUAGCAUUUAUUUUUUGAUGAAAGAUCCGUCGGUAGAAGAUGAGUAUGCGGGUGAUUAGCUAGUUGGUGAGGUAACGGCUCACCAAGGCAACGAUCACGUAGGGGAUCUGAGAGGACCUACCCCCCACACUGGUACUGAGAC
rnacentral:rRNA from 1 species